UGUUCUGUCCCUCCUCCUUGUACCAGUGGCUACUACCCAAAGGGAAAAGAAGGCAGAAUUUGGCAGGUGAGAGUACCCCUUUAAGAGCAGAGCAUGAUGGGAGCCCCUGCAGGGUAUAAAACAGAGCACUAAGGGCUUGCACAUGCUCUGGGGGUGACUAGGAUGAUGGGGAAUGUAAUGCCUGAAUCUUGGGUAUUGAACCAGGUCCUUCAAAGCUGCCCCACAAGCCUCAGUAUCUUGAGCCGAAGAGCUAAGUGAUGGCAAAUCCUAUGGAUUGAGGAGAAGACCCUGGCGUUGUGGAUGCUCUUGUGAGAUACCUGACUCUGCCAAUCGCUAGAGGGAUUUGAUGCUACAGGGAAGCCUGCCUCCAGGACCAGGAUUUGGGUUUGGAUCUGGUUCUCGUGCAGUCCUUGGUCCCGGUGCCCGGCGCGUGGAAAACCCCACCAGAUCGGAGUUCCUUUGCAUUGGGGUAGGGGACAGCAUGAGAUGCAAGGUGACAUGACUUGGAUCCAGGCUCUCCCUCCAUCCCAGGACCUCCUGGACUUUCAGUGUGGGGAGUGUGUGUGAGAUCUUUUCUUCCUGGGUCCAGACUAGCUUGUUUCUCCCUCCGGGCAGCUCUGCCCAGCUUUGCUCUGCGAAGGGCCAUUGCGUUAGACGCUCAGGACAGCAUCAAAUGUGAGCACGGCCCUUCGCGCCGCUUUAGCUGGGCUCCUGCUGACUGCUCCGUUCCCCUCUACCCCCGUGCAGUGUGACCCUGGCUGGGAUUUCCCUGCAGAGACAGGAAUGCUAUUUAUUUAUCCCCAGGAGCUGUUAGCCCGUCUCUAGCCAUCGCCCCAGCUGGCACAACGGAUGGCAAAUGGCUCAAGGUUCUGUAGCCGUUGGAUGCUGGGCAGACCAGAGCCAGAAACAGAAUGGAUCUGGGUUCCUAGCACCUUCAUGCCAUGGUGCCUUCUCCCCAUGUUCGCUCAUUAGCUGGUUGCUGCUGGACUCGCUCGCCUGCUUGUGCCUUGAUCUCGCGUGGAGCAACCAAGAGCAGCCAUUCUGGGGGCAACCAGAAAAGCCAAACCCAGUUGCUUCCCCCGCAGCCUGGAUCGGGACCAAGGCAGAGAAAACCAAUCUAAUAAGCAAUCCUGAACCUGGCCAGGGAAACCGAUCAACCAAAUGGCUGAUGUAAAUCCCUGGAAGGAAAAGGUGGCAAGUUCAAAACCGAACAAAGGAAAGACCUCUUCACCCAAUGGGGGAUUGGCCUGGGGAACUCAUUGCCACUGGAUGAUUUUGAGGCAAAGAAUGUAACAAGAUUUUAAAAAGGAACUGGGCAUUUACAUGGAUAUCGAGCCUAUCCAGGUUUAUAAUUCGUGAUGACACAGUUGUAGAAGGGAUAUUGAAUUUCUGGUGUCAGGGCUUAAACUGAGCUCUGUUAGAGAUCAGAAUGAGGCCUGGUGUGUGUGUGUUUGUGGGGGGCAGAUUAGCCCACACUUGAAA